rnacentral:rRNA from 1 species
CCUACGGGAGGCAGCAGUGAGGAAUAUUGGUCAAUGGACGGAAGUCUGAACCAGCCAUGCCGCGUGCAUGAAGACGGCCCUCUGGGUUGUAAACUGCUUUUGUACAAGGGUAAACCUGAAUACGUGUAUUCAGCUGACAGUACUGUACGAAUAAGGAUCGGCUAACUCCGUGCCAGCAGCCGCGGUAAUACGGAGGAUCCAAGCUUUAUCCGGAUUUAUUGGGUUUAAAGGGUGCGUAGGCGGAUUGAUAAGUUAGAUGUGAAAUGUCCGAGCUUAACUCGGGAAUUGCAUUUAAUACUGUUGAUCGAGCGUGUAGAUGCGGUAGGCGGAAUGCAUGGUGUAGCGGUGAAAUGCUUAGAGAUCAUACAGAACACCGAGGGCGAAGGCAGCUUACCAAGCUAUAUCUGACGUUGAGGCACGAAAGCGUGGGGAGCAAACAGGAUUAGAUACCCUAGUAGUC